UCGAAAAGUCUGCCUCUCCCUCCCUUUCCUUCUUCCCUCAAAGCCGUCUGGGGAAGAGAAGAGCAAACGGAGACGCCACGCGGGCCCAGAUGGCUGGCAGCUCACCAACUGCAGCCAAAGACCGAGAGGGGGAAACUAGACCUCCCCAAUGCAGUUGCCUUUCAUGUCAGGCUUCUUCAAACAAUCGGCGGACACACAACAACAUGCAUGCACUAUUUCACCAACUCUCCCUCAGUGAGAGAUAAAAUCAUAAAAAGACUUUUUGCAUAUGGUGGCAAUGUCUUGCGCGAACCCUCUGAGGCA